UUUUUUUUUUAACGUCAUUCAUGCUGUAAAUCACUUUUUUGUUUGUUUGUACUUUGCUUCUUUAUUUUUAAUUUUUCCAUAAGUUAUUGGAGCACAGGUGGUAUUUGGUUAUAUGAGCAAGUUCUUUAGUGGUGAUUGGUGAGACACUGGUGCACUCAUCACCCAAGCAGUAUGCACUGCACCAUAUUUGUAGGCUUUUAUCCCUCGCCCCCUCCCACUCUGCCCCCCAAGUCCCCAAAGUCCAUUGCAUCAUUCUUAUGACUUUGUAUUCUCAGAGCUUAGCUCCCACAUAUCAGUGAGAACCAUACAAUGGUUUGGUUUUCCAUUUCUGAAUUACUUCACUUAGAAUAAUAGUCUCUAAUCUCAUCCAGGUCACUGCAAAUGCUGUUAAUUCAUUUCUUUUUAUGGCUGCAUAGUAUUCCAUCGUAUACAUAUACCACAGUUUCUUUAUCCACUUGUUGAUUGAUGGGCAUUUGGGUUGGUUCCAUGAUUUUGCAAUUAUGAAUUAUGCUGCUGUAAGCAUGAGUGUGCAAGUAUCUUUUUCAAAUAGUGACUUCUUUUCCUCUGAGUAGAUAUCCAGUAGUGGGAUUGUUGGAUCCAAUGGUAGUUCUACUUUUAGUUCUUUAAGGAAUCUCCACACUGUUUUCCACAGUGGCUGUACUAGUUUACAUUCCCAUCAGCAGUGUAGAAGUGUUCCCUGAUCACUGCAUCCACACCAACAUCUACCGUUUUUUUUGUUUUUUGAUUAUGGCCAUUCUUGCAGGAGUAAGGUGGUAUGGCAUGGUGGUUUUGAUUUGCAUUUCCCUGAUCAUUAGUGUUGUUGAGCAUUUUUUCAUGUUUGCUGGUCAUUUGUAUGUCUUCUUUUGAGAAUUGUCUAUUCAUUUCCUUAGCCCACUUUUUGAUGAGAUUGUUUGUUUUUUUUUCUUACUGAUUUGCUUGAGUUUGUUGUAGAUUCUGGGUAUUAGUCCUUUGUCAGAUGUAUAGAUUGUGAAGAUUUUCUCCCACUCUGUGGGUUGUCUGUUUACUCUGCUGACAGUUCCUUUUGCCUUGUGAAAGCGCUUUAGUUUAAUUAAGUCUCAGCUAUUUAUCUUUGUUUAUAUUGCAUUUGCUUUUGGGUUCUUGGUCAUGAAAUCCUUGCCUAAGCCAACGUCUAGAAGGAUUUUUCCGAUGUUUGCUUCUAGAAUUGUUAUAGUUUCAGGUCUUAGGUUUAAGUCCUUAAUCCAUUUUGAGUUGAUUUUUGCAUAAGGGGGGAGAUGAGGAUCCAGUUUCAUUCUCCUACAUGUGGCUAGCCAAUUAUCCCAGCAUCAUUUGUUGAAAAGGGUGUCCUUUCCCCACUUUAUGUUUUUGUUUGCUUUGUCAAAGAUCAGUUGACUGUAAGUAUUUGGGAUUAUUUCUGGGUUCUCUAUUCUGUUCCAUUGGUCUAUGUGCCGGUUCCCUCCCUGAUUAGCUUAAUAACUAACCUCCUGAAUUCUUUUUCAGGUAAAUCAGGGAUUUCUUCUUGGUUUGGAUCCAGUGCUGGUGAAUCAGUGUGAUUUUGGGGGGGUGUUGAAGAGCCUCAUUUUGUCAUAUUACCAGGGUUGGUUUUCUGGUUCCUUCUCAUUUGAGUAGGCUCUCUGAGAGAAGGUCUAGGGCUGAAGGCUGUCGUUCACAUUCUUUCGUCCCCCAGGUUGUUCCCUUGAUGUAGUACUCUCUUCCUUUUCCUAUGGAUGUGGCUUCCUGAGAGCCAAACUGCAGUGAUCGUUGUCUCUCUUCUGGGUCUAGCCACCCAGUGGGUCUACCCGGCUCCGGGCUGGUACUGGGGUUUGUCUGCAACGUCCUGUGAUGUGACCUAUGGGUCUCUCAGCCAUGGAUACCAGCGCCUGUUCUGGUGGAGGUGGCAAUGAUGGGGGUGCAAUGGACUCCGUGAGGGUUCUUAGCUUUGGUGGUUUAAUGCUCUAUUUUUGUGCUGUUUGGCCUCCUGCCGGGAGGGGGCGCUUUCCAGAGAGCAUCAGCUGUGGUAGUGUGGCGAGGAACCGGCGGUGGGCGGGGCCCUAGAACUCCAAGAUGAUAUGCCCUUUGUCUUCUGCUACCAGGGUGGGUAGGGAAGGACCCUCAGGUGAGGGUGGGGUAGGCACCUCUGAGCUCAGGCUCUCCUUGGGCGGUCCUUGCUGCGGCUGCUGUGGGGGCUGGGGGUGAGAUUCCCAGGUCACUGGAGUUAUGUACCUAGGAGGAUUAUGUCUGCCUCUGCUGAGUCAUGCAGGUUGUCAGGGAAGUGGGGGAAAGCCGGCAGUCACAGGGCUCACCCAGCUCCCACCCAAACCAAAGGGCCGGUCUCACUCCCACCGUGCACCCCCCAACAGCCCCCAGUCCGUUUCCAGGCGGAGAGGGAUACAGGCCUGAAAACCUGCCCCAGGCUACCCGCCUCCCAGCUGCGAGAGAAAAAGGCUUGGUUCUUCCCCCGCCUGUGGAGUCAGCACCCCGGAUUCGUGCCCUGCCCUAGUUCUGGCCAGGAGGAUUCUCACCCAGUUCAAACUGUUACAACGCUCAGCUAGAGAUUUCCUUCUCCCUGUGGAGUUUUACCCCCUCCUCUCCCGAUGGAUCCCUGUGGUGCCAGCAGGAAUGGGCUGCUCGGGGACCCAGCGAGCUCCGCGGGCCUUUCCGCUGCUUCCUCUACCCCUGUACCUCACUGGGCUCCCCAGACGGACUCAGCUCCAGGUGUCUGUGAACUCAAGAGAAGCCUUUCAUUCUAGACAUAGUAGUUAUUUUCUAAAUCAUCUUUAAACUUAUUUGCUGGAAUAUUGUGGGGGUAAAGUGCAAACUUCCCCUUCACCAUCUGAAGGUUUGCUAAAAAUCAACAGGCAGAAGGCGAAUUAACAGGAGAAAUGGCAUGCCAAUUUGUUUGAUCACAGUUUUACAUGAAGAAUGAAGACCCAAAGACACAUGAGAAAUUGUCCAUUUUUAUGCAACACCAGACCAGGCGAUGCUCUAAGACAGGUACAACAAAGUAUGGACAUGCGUGUAGAAAUACGAGUCAACUAAAGGGUGUGAUCUACUGCUAAUAGGCUGAGUGGGGACACCCAGACUCUUCCUGGCCCCUGUGAGCAGCUUCCUUUCCUUCUGGUGUGGGGCAGGAACUUCUCUGGAAUGGGGAUCUUCUGACCCACAGUCAAACAAGAAUUGGACAGAAGUCACAUCAGGGAGACCAGAGACUAGAGUAUUGCAUCAUAGAGGAAAGACACUGAUGACAAGACCUCAGGGGAGCAGUGGAACUGGAGGCCUGGGAGCUUGGGACGUGUUCUCCGGGUGAAGUUGGCUGGCCAGCUGAUGACCUACACCAGUGCCAUUCACUCCUCAUGUGUCCCCCGGGAAUUCAUAGUGUGUGUCAUCAGCUCUGAAACAAUAUAAGGAUUCAUCUCUAUUACACAAAGGUUCACAGCCCAGCUCUCC
rnacentral:lncRNA from 10 species